CAAUAGCGUAUAUUAAAGCUGUUGCGGUUAAAAAGCUCGUAGUUGGAUUUCUGUCAAGUACAACUGGUCCGCCCUCCGGGUGAGCACAUAGUUUGGUCUUGGCAUCUUGCUGGAAAUUGUUGCUGCACUUGGCUGUGUGGCGCAGUGUCCAGCACUUUCACUUUGAGGAAAUUGGAGUGUUUCAAGCAGGCAAUGCCUUUGAACACAGUAGCAUGGAAUAAUUAGAUUGGGCUUUUGCUCCAAUUUGUCGGUUUCUGGAGCUGAGGUGAGAAUUAAUGGGGAUUGUUGGGGGCAUCCGAAUUUAGCCGUCAGAGGUGAAAUUCUUGGAUUUGUUAAAGACGAACUACUGCGAAAGCAUUUGCCAAGGAUGUUUUCAUUAA
rnacentral:rRNA from 1 species